GACACAAACGAGAUGGAGAUCCCACUCUCCCAACCUUGUGUUAUUUCUACAUAUCUCCUAUGUUUUCUUUUUCAAUAAUGUCUGCUUCUGUGGACUGCAUGUAAGACAAGGCUUUCUACUUCAAAGGGCAUUAUUUGGAGAAUAAAUCACCAUCUUCUUUUCAGGAAAAUAUGGUGACAAAAUUGGGAAAUGUUCAACAUUGUAUCUGAAGAAUCUUGGGAACCAGUUUGAUGUAGAGGUUAAGCCUGUAAAAGAUUCCUCAGUCUACUGGGAAAGAAGGGAACAUGGGAAGCAUUUCUGAAGGAACCCUCCCUCGUUUUCUGAAGAGUAAAAGGAGAGGAGGGGAGAGGAGAGGAGAGAUACGUUCAGUCUUGCAAAAUUCCUUUAAUGUAACUUUGUAAUAGAGAUAGAAUUAAUACUCAA